UUCCAUCCUGGUCCUUCUUACUAGAAGAGAAAGCUCCUGGUUCAGCCCAUCAAUAAACAGAAUUAGGCGCUGGCCCCGUGGCUGAGUGGUUAAGUUCGCGGGCUCUGCUUUGGUGGCCCAGGCUUUUGCCGGUUUGGAUCCUGGGCGCGGACCUGGAUGUUCCUGUAGGGCCAGUUUCGUCCAAUGUUGGGCAAGACCUUCACCAACAAGCCUGUGGAUUAGUUGAUAUGAAUCCGAAGACCCUGGCUGGGAAAAAGAAAAUUCCUAGCUAGCCCAAUUCCAAAAGGAACCUUACCAAAGUUUCAGCACACUUCCAAAAGGAAACUAAUCCAGUACUCACCAAGGAGGAAGCCUUGAACUAGAAAGGAC
rnacentral:lncRNA from 1 species